rnacentral:rRNA from 1 species
UACAGAGGUCUCAAGCGUUGUUCGGAUUCAUUGGGCGUAAAGGGUGCGUAGGCGGCGCGGUAAGUCCGUGGUGAAAUCCUGCAGCUUAACUGCAGAACUGCCAUGGAUACUAUUUAUCUUGAAUGUCGUGGAGGUUAGCAGAAUAUGUCAUGUAGCGGUGAAAUGCUUAGAUAUGACAUAGAAUACCCAUUGCGAAGGCAGCUAACUACGCGAUAAUUGACGCUGAUGCACGAAAGCGUGGGGAUCAAACAGG